rnacentral:lncRNA from 1 species
GGAGGGUUAUGGAGGGUCAAAAAGCAUCUGUUUGAUUGACAGGAAAUCUAUGCGUUGAUUAUUGGUGUUUGAUUUGUUUAAUGCAUGGCAGCAUUGCCUCAAGAGACUGAAUAGUCAAAUCUUGGCUAGGUCACAGAUCUUUCACUUGGCCGGGUUGGCUUCUAGUGUGGUGUUCCCUUGUCCCCAGAUACAAUCUCACUUCUACUUGGUAGUCCAAGUUGUGGUUUACUAGUGUGUCUUUCGCGAGUCACGACCAAAUUGAACCACUGUGUACAAUAUGAUUGAGGUGUUUUCUGUGUAAGUGCCGGUCUAGACGUGAGAAUAUUCCGGGCAGAUGCAUGAGCAAAGUCAAUGUAGUUAUACAUUUGUCAAACAUAGGAGACUCGACAGGGUGUGAACAAGGUAUAGGAUCAUUGCCCAAUAAAACUAGCUCCUUACAUUAUACAUUUAUAC